rnacentral:rRNA from 1 species
AUUGAACGCUGGCGGCAGGCCUAACACAUGCAAGUCGAACGAGCGGCGGACGGGUGAGUAAUGUCUGGGAAACUGCCCGAUGGAGGGGGAUAACUACUGGAAACGGUGGCUAAUACCGCAUACCAUCGGAUGUACCCAUAUGGGAUUAGCUAGUAGGUGGGGUAACGGCUCACCUAGGCGACGAUCACUAGCUGGUCUGAGAGGAUGACCAGCCACACUGGGACUGAGACACGGUCCAGACUCCUACGGGAGGCAGCAGUGGGGAAUAUUGCACAAUGGGCGCAAGCCUGAUGCAGCCAUGCCGCGUGUAUGAAGAAGGCCUUCGGGUUGUAAAGUACUUUCAGCGAGGAGGCGUUACCCGCAGAAGAAGCACCGGCUAACUCCGUGCCAGCAGCCGCGGUAAUAC